GAGUUUGAUCCUGGCUCAGAACUAACGCUGGCGGCGUGCCUAACGCAUGCAAGUCGAGCGGACACCACUUUGUAGCAAUACAGAUGAAGUGUUAGCGGCAGACGGGUGAGUAACACGUAGGCAAUCUACCUUUCCGUCCGGGAUAACUAGCCGAAAGGUUAGCUAAUACCAGAUGCGCUCAUCGAACGGCAUCGUUUGAUGAUGAAAGCAGCAAUGCGCGGAUUGAGGAGCCUGCGGCCCAUUAGCUAGUUGGUGAGGUAAUGGCCCACCAAGGCAACGAUGGGUAGCUGGUCUGAGAGGACGACCAGCCACACUGGGACUGAGACACGGCCCAGACUCCUACGGGAGGCAGCAGUGAGGAAUUUUCCGCAAUGGGCGAAAGCCUGACGGAGCGACGCCGCGUGCACGAGGAAGGUCUUCGGAUCGUAAAGUGCUGUCGAGGGGGACGAUUAUGACGGUACCCCUGGAGGAAGCCCCGGCUAACUACGUGCCAGCAGCCGCGGUAAGACGUAGGGGGCGAGCGUUGUUCGGAAUUGCUGGGCGUAAAGCGUGCGUAGGCGGACUUAUAAGUCAAGGGUUGAAAUAUCCGGGCUCAACUCGGGCACGGGCCUUGAUACUGCA
rnacentral:rRNA from 1 species